rnacentral:rRNA from 1 species
GCAUACGAUCUAAUUCUCGGCAUCGAGGAUAGAUGAAAGGUGGCCUCUACAUGUAAGCUAUCACUGAAGGAGGGGAUUGCGUCUGAUUAGCUAGUUGGAGGGGUAACGGCCCACCAAGGCGAUGAUCAGUAGCCGGUCUGAGAGGAUGAACGGCCACAUUGGGACUGAGACACGGCCCAGACUUCUACGGGAGGCAGCAGUGGGGAAUCUUCCGCAAUGGACGAAAGUCUGACGGAGCAACGCCGCGUGAGUGAUGACGGCUUCGGGUUGUAAAGCUCUGUUAAUCGGGACGAAAGGCCUUCUUGCGAAUAGUGAGAAGGA